UCUGAACAAUGAAAACAAAAUUGAGUUAGUAUAUAUUGAAUCUCAGAUGGUGCAGCGGAUUAAAGCAUCAGUUUACACUCAUCCCAGUACUGGAAAGCAGAAUGGAAUUUUAAAAUGACAUGACCACGGUGACGAUGAUGGACGGUUGAAGAACAGCCACCAGAUGUUGAUGCAUCCCUGUGCUGUGGCAACUCCUUAGCCAAAGGAGAGAUUUUAGUUUGACAUUGUUAUUGAUAAAAUAGACGAUUUAAAAAAUUCUUGAACGUCAUAAGGAGAGUAAAGGAUACUACUGAACCCUGAGAUAUUUAAACUUUAUCUGUUCAUUGUGUAGUAGAUGAAAUAAGACAUCUUUUAAGAAUGAUUUACAUUAUGGUCUCUCAACAUAGGUCGCCUCAAAAAAUAUACUACAUAGGAGUUUAAAGGUCCCACAAUUUUAUGCAUGAAGCAGGUCUAAAAUCUCCAGCAUUUUAUUUAUGAAUGUCUUUACUUUGUUAACU
rnacentral:lncRNA from 1 species